rnacentral:lncRNA from 1 species
CAAAACAAAAAAAAACCCAAAAUAUGAAUAUCUCAACUCCAAACUGCCCAGCCUCCACCAGCCCUGCCCAUUCCUGUUGCUCCCUCUCCUCCCUUUUCCUAGCCUCAGGAGGGCUGCCCUCCAUGCAUUGUAACCCCCAACCUUCCAAAGGGCAUGACCCUUCCCCAUAGCCACAUCAUCAAAGGAGGGGCAGCUCAGCCUUAUGCUUCUGCCUGAAAUGGUUCCAGAUGUGGGGCCUGCAGAAAAGGCAGGGUGAAGGUUCAGCACAAAGCUAGGUUUCCUCCUGGAGGUUGCCCUAGGGGAGGCCCAAGCCCCUCCCACCCCUGGCACCUGGUCAGUAAAUGAGAGCAGAACAAGGCCACUGAUGGGAUGAUGGUUCAGGGAAAGAGUCUGUCAAGAGCCUGGGGAAGAGGAACCCUUGUGGGGCCUGGGUGUCUGGGGCAAGAGGGAGGCUGAAGCCCAUUCUGGGUUUGCAUUCCUCACUCUAUCCAGCCUUGCUGGAUCUGAGGCCUGGGGCAACUUCCAGGGUGGGGUUCUCCAGGCUGAGCAAGGAGGCCCAGGACUGAGCGAUUUAGAUCCCUCCUACUACUCCUCAAAGAAAUGCCAUUAUAGAUGGGGGAAACUAAGCCCAGGGCUCCAAAUUGGCUCCUGACUAAUGGUUCCUGUGCAGGCCUCUCCCAUGGGGAUCCUUAUUCAGGGCCCCAAAUGUUCCUGGGGGCAUGGCAGGGUCUGGAUAUCACUGUGGCUUGGGUAGAGGAGGGACAGGUGAGACAUGAUGCUGGUCUAGAGAUACAUCCAGGUGGUUCAGCUCUGGGUAUGAAUGAAGAUGAGGCAGAGCCCAGCCUAGCUCUGGGAAAAUCUCAGCUCCUACUCCACAGUCUUCUGGGACUCAAGACAGCACCUCCUGCCUGAG